AGACGAACAAUCUAAAUUCACCAACACCAAAUUUAAAUUGAAACAAUCUCAGUGAAAAAUGAAGAUAGGUGGAGAUAUAAAAGUUACAAGACCCCUUACCACCCACAGCUUCCAAAUCUGUCAUCCUUGUCAUUUCUUCUUCAGGCCAUGGCCAUAUACCAUCUCCUUAUCUCUUCUUUCUAACCGCAUUCACAAAAAAAAGUACUAAUAAUCUUUUAUCUCCUGACGUAUUACUAAUUAACUUCAAGAGACAAAAAUUAUUCACAACGUGGAAGGAGAUGCAUUCCUAGUAACAGUGGCGAUCACGGCCGUGAGGAAGUUCAAGGAUAAGGAAAACCGGCAACAACACUGCAGGCAGAAAGCGUAUAUUGAAAUAUCUUCCAAAGUUCCAAACCAAAACAAGAACUAAGAACUUAAGAACCAUCGGUCCAUCCGCACAACAUAAUUAACUGAAAAGAGAGCCAAUACUC
rnacentral:lncRNA from 1 species